GACAGCAGGAGGCUGCUGUGUUCAGCCCCAUCACAGUCUGAGGAAUGGUGUUGUUCUUAACACAAAAACAAGAAGCUGCUGUUUCCUCUGCUGGAAGAACCCACUGUGUUCAAAGGCACAUAACUUGAUAAAGUUUAUGAUGGCUGAAGUGUUGUGUAUUUGUUUCUUUAAUGUCCAGGUCUUUAAUCAACAGCUUUUGUGGCCUUCUCCUGCAGGUCUUGUAGAAUAAUCCGUGAGUGUAGUCUGUGUUCUUGUAUCAGGCUGUAGUAAAACCUUUGUCUAAUCUGAUUUGACAGUUUCAAAAAACACAGCAAAACUCUUACCUGGUAUAAAACACUGGAAAAUGUGGAAAUAAUGUUUGUUUUUCCUGCAACUUUUUUUUUUUUUAAUAUAAUCCUAAAAAACUGAUUGUCUGCAAUUUAAACUAAAUGGCUGCAACUUAAAAUUAUUAUAACAGCUUUGGCUUUACUUUUAAUUGAUAAUGCACUCAUUUUUCAGCUUUCUCACUGAACCAGCAUUAUUUUCAGUUGUCUGAAUGGAAGAAAUUAUCUCCUUCUGGACUUUGAAAAAUGUUUCUAGUUUCACAGCUAGAUAUAGGUGUGCAUAUAUAUAUGCAUUGCAUUUUCUAUUUAGUAGAAAAUGCAACUGAAACAAGUAUAUAUGAAUUUCUUUAUCUUGGGGCUGUUUGUGAAAUAUGCUUGUUUUGUAGAGUUUGUAUUUUGUAUCUAAAUAUGGAAAACAGAUUGGAAAAUAUUUUACUAUACAAAUACUACUUUCCAGCAAAAAGGUGUACAAAGAAGGGAAGAAAAUGGUCUAUUUUCUUCUAACUGUGAAAAAAAAUGAAGUAUGCCACAAGCUUAUUUUUGGUUCUAUAAAGUCAUGAACUAGUGCUACAGAGACCAUUUGCAGUUGAUAGAAAGCCCUGUGGUUAUUUUACACCAUGAUAUGAAGAAUGAGUCACAAUGACUCUUACUAGAAAAUGGGAUUUGGGAACAUCCCUAAGUGCAUUUUUUCAGAUACUGACAUGAAGAGUUGUGUUAAAAGUUCUAGGACUGAAAGAGUCCCAAACCUGCUUGCUGUGACUUAAUCCUUGUUAAGAAAAUUCAGUCCUUCUAAAAAGUGUAUAAUUAUUUAUAUAAGAAAAAUAAAUGCUCUUUAUCAUUUUCUCCAGAAA